CGGCGUGGAUUAGGCAUGCAAGUCGAACGAGAAUGGGUGAAGCCCGCAAGGGUGGAUCCCUAGUACAGUGGCGAAAGCGUGAGUAAUGCAUAAAUAACCUGCCCUCUAGCGGGGGACAACGUCUGGAAACGGACGCUAAUACCGCAUGUGUCGUCGAGACCGCAUGGUUUUGACGCGAAAGGCCGGGACCGUAAGGCCGGUCACUAGAGGAGGGGUUUAUGUUCUAUCAGCUAGUUGGUGAGGUAACGGCCCACCAAGGCUCUGACGGAUAGCCGGACUGAGAGGUCGGCCGGCCACACUGGGACUGAGACACUGCCCAGACUCCUACGGGAGGCUGCAGUCGAGGAUCUUCGGCAAUGCGCGAAAGCGUGACCGAGCGACGCCGCGUGAAGGAUGAAGGCCUUCGGGUCGUAAACUUCUGUCACAGGUUAUGAAUAAGGUACACUGAAUAUGUGUGCCGAUGACCAGCCGCGGUAAUACGAGGAGGGCGAACGUUGUUCGGAUUUACUGGGCUUAAAGGGCGCGUAGGCGGUUUGAUAUGUCGGGGUUGAAAUCCCUCAGCCCAACCGAGGAAUAGGUCCCGAAACUGUCAGACUUGAAUGCAUCAGGGGCGUGUGGAACUCCAGGUGGAGCGGUGAAAUGCGUAGAUAUCUGGAGGAACGCCGGUGGCGAAAGCGACACGCUGGGGUGCUAUUGACGCUGAGGCGCGAAAGCUAGGGGAGCAAACAGGAUUAGAUACCCUGGUAGUCCUAGCUGUAAACGAUGGAUACUAAGUAGCGGUGUCUCCGAUGGCAUCGCUGCCGGAGUGAAAGUAUUAAGUAUCCCGCCUGGGGAGUACGGUCGCAAGACUAAAACUCAAAGGAAUUGACGGGGGCUCGCACAAGCGGUGGAGGAUGUUGUUUAAUUCGAGGCAACGCGAANAACCUUACCUGGGUUUGACAUGUACGUGGUAGGGACCCGAAAGGGCGACNAUCCGGAGCAAUCCGGAAGCGUAUACAGGUGCUGCAUGGCUGUCGUCAGCUCGUGCCGUGAGGUGUUGGGUUAAGUCCCGUAACGAGCGAAACCCUUGUCACUAGUUACUAACAGGUAACGCUGAGGACUCUAGUGAGACUGCCGGUGUUAAACCGGAGGAAGGUGGGGAUGACGUCAAGUCCUCAUGGCCCUUAUUACCCAGGGCUACAAACGUCCUACAAUGAUCGGUACAGAGAGAUGCAAGACCGCAAGGUGGAGCAAAUCUGUUAAAGCCGACCUCAGUUCGGAUCGUGGGCUGCAAUUCGUCCACGUGAAGCUGGAAUCGCUAGUAAUCGCGCAU
rnacentral:rRNA from 1 species